UACGGCGGGUGCGGGCGUUAAUCGGAAUUACUGGGCGUAAAGCGCGCGUAGGCGGUUUGUUAAGUCAGCUGUGAAAGCCCCGGGCUUAACCUGGGAACUGCAGUUGAUACUGGCCGACUAGAGUACGAGAGAGGGAGGUAGAAUUCCAUGUGUAGCGGUGAAAUGCGUAGAUAUAUGGAGGAAUACCGGUGGCGAAGGCGGCCUCCUGGCUCGAUACUGACGCUGAGGUGCGAAAGCGUGGGGAGCAAACAGG
rnacentral:rRNA from 1 species